rnacentral:lncRNA from 1 species
GAGGCCUUUGCCCGUACCAUACUGUGUUUAUGCUCCCAGCUCAAACACUCUAAACCAUGGGAGAACACAUGAGUUCUGUGUUAUACGAGUUGUGACAGAGAAUCUACUUCCAGGCCAUAGCCUUGACCAGCUCUCCAGUCUACCCUGCUUCGAUGACUGCUGGACUUUCCCCUCUGAUGCCUCUGGAUCUUGAAUUUCAGGCUGCAAGAUUUGAGUUGGAGGACAGAGGAGGUCACAAUUCUGGAGACAGUGGAAAGAUUAUAUGUCCUGCUCGCACUUGUACUCCACAGCGUCUGUGAUGAGAGUCGGCCUUGGAGCACAGAGGCGGGUCCACAUUCCUCUUUGGCUUCGGACUCUCAGUGCCCCUCAUUCCUCCCCACACCCCGUCACCACAGCGUGGGCCUGCUCGUGCACGUCUCCAUCUGUCACACCCCCUCUCUCAUCGAAGAAUUGGGCAUCAGUCCUGGGUACCUUCAGUGGGCUCGUGGCAUGGUAUUUUGGAACAUAAAGCACUCUGGACCUCAGCAGCUUAGCUUGGAAACUGGGC